GGACUACACGGGUAUCUAAUCCUGUUUGAUCCCCACGCUUUCGUGCCUCAGCGUCAAUAUAUGCGUAGCCUGCUGCCUUCGCAAUUGGUGUUCUAUGUCAUCUCUAAGCAUUUCACCGCUACAUGACAUAUUCCGCAGACCUCCACAAUAUUCAAGACAGAUAGUAUCAAUGGCAGUUUUCGGGUUAAGCCCAAAGAUUUCACCACUGACUUAACUGCCCGCCUACGCACCCUUUAAACCCAGUGAAUCCGGAUAACGCUUGCACCCUCCGUAUUACCGCGGCGGCUGGCAC
rnacentral:rRNA from 1 species